rnacentral:rRNA from 1 species
UGGGGAAUCUUGCACAAUGGGGGAAACCCUGAUGCAGCGACGCCGCGUGAGUGAUGAAGCCCUUCGGGGUGUAAAGCUCUUUCGGCAGGGACGAUAAUGACGGUACCUGCGGAAGAAGCUGCGGCUAACUACGUGCCAGCAGCCGCGGUAAUACGUAGGCAGCAAGCGUUGUUCGGAAUUACUGGGCGUAAAGAGUGUGUAGGCGGUGCUGUAAGUUCGGUGUGAAAUCUCCCGGCUCAACUGGGAGGGUGCGCCGGAAACUGCAGUGCUCGAGGAUGGGAGAGGAAAGCGGAAUUCCUGGUGUAGCGGUGAAAUGCGUAGAUAUCAGGAGGAACACCUGUGGUGUAGACGGCUUUCUGGACCAACCCUGACGCUGAGACACGAAAGCGUGGGUAGCAAACAGG